GGAUCAGGUAGGGAUACC
rnacentral:rRNA from 1 species